rnacentral:rRNA from 1 species
AGGAAACCCAACUGCAUAAGCAGUUACUGUUAACUGAAUACAUAGGUUAACAGAGCAAACCGGGGGAACUGAAACAUCUAAGUACCCCGAGGAGAAGAAAUCAACCGAGAUUCCGGUAGUAGCGGCGAGCGAACCUGGAUUAGCCCUUAAGCACUCGGUGAAGUAGGUGAACAAGCUGGAAAGCUUGGCGAUACAGGGUGAUAGCCCCGUAACCGACGCUUCAUCGAGCGUGAAAUCGAGUAGGGCGGGACACGUGAUAUCCUGUCUGAAUAUGGGGGGACCAUCCUCCAAGGCUAAAUACUCCUGACUGACCGAUAGUGAACCAGUACCGUGAGGGAAAGGCGAAAAGAACCCCUGUGAGGGGAGUGAAAUAGAACCUGAAACCGUGUACGUACAAGCAGUAGGAGCACCUUCGUGGUGUGACUGCGUACCUUUUGUAUAAUGGGUCAGCGACUUAUAUUCAGUGGCAAGGUUAACCGUAUAGGGGAGCCGUAGCGAAAGCGAGUCUUAACUGGGCGCUCAGUCUCUGGAUAUAGACCCGAAACCGGGUGAUCUAGCCAUGGGCAGGUUGAAGGUUGAGUAACAUCAACUGGAGGACCGAACCGACUAAUGUUGAAAAAUUAGCGGAUGACUUGUGGCUAGGGGUGAAAGGCCAAUCAAACUCGGAGAUAGCUGGUUCUCCCCGAAAGCUAUUUAGGUAGCGCCUCGGACGAAUACUACUGGGGGUAGAGCACUGUUAAGGCUAGGGGGUCAUCCCGACUUACCAACCCUUUGCAAACUCCGAAUACCAGUAAGUACUAUCCGGGAGACACACGGCGGGUGCUAACGUCCGUCGUGGAGAGGGAAACAACCCAGACCGCCAGCUAAGGUCCCAAAGUAUUGCUAAGUGGGAAACGAUGUGGGAAGGCUCAGACAGCUAGGAUGUUGGCUUAGAAGCAGCCAUCAUUUAAAGAAAGCGUAAUAGCUCACUAGUCGAGUCGGCCUGCGCGGAAGAUGUAACGGGGCUAAGCAAUACACCGAAGCUGCGGCAAUAUCUUUUAGAUAUUGGGUAGGGGAGCGUUCUGUAAGCCGUUGAAGGUGAAUCGUAAGGUUUGCUGGAGGUAUCAGAAGUGCGAAUGCUGACAUGAGUAACGACAAAGGGGGUGAAAAACCUCCUCGCCGGAAGACCAAGGGUUCCUGUCCAACGUUAAUCGGGGCAGGGUGAGUCGACCCCUAAGGUGAGGCCGAAAGGCGUAAUCGAUGGGAAACGGGUUAAUAUUCCCGUACUUCUGACUAUUGCGAUGGGGGGACGGAGAAGGCUAGGUGGGCCAGGCGACGGUUGUCCUGGUUCAAGUGCGUAGGCUUGAGAGUUAGGUAAAUCCGGCUCUCUCUAAGGCUGAGACACGACGUCGAGCUGCUACGGCAGUGAAGUCAUUGAUGCCAUGCUUCCAGGAAAAGCCUCUAAGCUUCAGAUAGUCAGGAAUCGUACCCCAAACCGACACAGGUGGUCGGGUAGAGAAUACCAAGGCGCUUGAGAGAACUCGGGUGAAGGAACUAGGCAAAAUGGUACCGUAACUUCGGGAGAAGGUACGCUCUUGAUGGUGAAGUCCCUCGCGGAUGGAGCUGACGAGAGUCGCAGAUACCAGGUGGCUGCAACUGUUUAUUAAAAACACAGCACUGUGCAAAAUCGCAAGAUGACGUAUACGGUGUGACGCCUGCCCGGUGCCGGAAGGUUAAUUGAUGGGGUUAGCGCAAGCGAAGCUCUUGAUCGAAGCCCCGGUAAACGGCGGCCGUAACUAUAACGGUCCUAAGGUAGCGAAAUUCCUUGUCGGGUAAGUUCCGACCUGCACGAAUGGCGUAAUGAUGGCCACGCUGUCUCCACCCGAGACUCAGUGAAAUUGAAAUCGCUGUGAAGAUGCAGUGUACCCGCGGCUAGACGGAAAGACCCCGUGAACCUUUACUACAGCUUGGCACUGAACAUUGAACCUACAUGUGUAGGAUAGGUGGGAGGCUAUGAAGACGUGACGCCAGUUGCGUUGGAGCCGUCCUUGAAAUACCACCCUUGUAUGUUUGAUGUUCUAACUUAGACCCAUUAUCUGGGUUGAGGACAGUGCCUGGUGGGUAGUUUGACUGGGGCGGUCUCCUCCCAAAGAGUAACGGAGGAGCACGAAGGUGGGCUAAUCACGGUUGGACAUCGUGAGGUUAGUGCAAUGGCAUAAGCCCGCUUAACUGCGAGAAUGACGGUUCGAGCAGGUGCGAAAGCAGGUCAUAGUGAUCCGGUGGUUCUGUAUGGAAGGGCCAUCGCUCAACGGAUAAAAGGUACUCCGGGGAUAACAGGCUGAUACCGCCCAAGAGUUCAUAUCGACGGCGGUGUUUGGCACCUCGAUGUCGGCUCAUCACAUCCUGGGGCUGAAGUCGGUCCCAAGGGUAUGGCUGUUCGCCAUUUAAAGUGGUACGCGAGCUGGGUUUAGAACGUCGUGAGACAGUUCGGUCCCUAUCUGCCGUGGGCGUUGGAAGAUUGAAGGGGGCUGCUCCUAGUACGAGAGGACCGGAGUGGACGAACCUCUGGUGUUCGGGUUGUGUCGCCAGACGCAUUGCCCGGUAGCUAAGUUCGGAAUUGAUAAGCGCUGAAAGCAUCUAAGCGCGAAGCGAGCCCUGAGAUGAGUCUUCCCUGAUACUUUAAGUAUCCUAAAGGGUUGUUCGAGACUAGAACGUUGAUAGGCAGGGUGUGUAAGCGUUGUGAGGCGUUGAGCUAACCUGUACUAAUUGCCCGUGAGGCUUAACCA